GAUGAACGCUGGCGGCGUGCCUAACACAUGCAAGUCGAACGGAGUCCAGCCUUUAAGACCUUCGGGUCAAAGAGGGGAAGACUGAGUGGCGGACGGGUGAGUAACACGUGGGCAACCUGGCUCAUAGAGGGGGAUAACAGAGAGAAAUUUCUGCUAAUACCGCAUAAGCACACACUGCCGCAUGGCAGAGGGUGAAAAGAGAAUCGCUAUGAUAUGGACCCGCGUCUGAUUAGCCAGUUGGCAGGGUAAGAGCCUACCAAAGCGACGAUCAGUAGCCGAUCUGAGAGGAUGAACGGCCACAUUGGGACUGAGACACGGCACAAACUCCUACGGGAGGCAGCAGUGGGGGAUAUUGCACAAUGGGGGGAACCCUGAUGCAGCGACGCCGCGUGAGUGAAGAAGUAUUUCGGUAUGUAAAGCUCUAUCAGCAGGGAAGAUAAUGACAGUACCUGAAUAAGAAGCCCCGGCUAACUACGUG
rnacentral:rRNA from 1 species